UAAUCCAACCUUUACCUCUUUCUCCUAAAAUAAUCCAACCUUUCGAUUAACCCUCAAUAAUCCUAAGUUUACUACUUAUUUUCUUACACCGAGCUUUUUUGACCGGCUACCUGAACUUCAGGUAACUUUUUUUAAUUUUUAUUUUAUUUUUUAUUUUCCUUAAUUUUCCCCACCUUCUUCCUUCUCUCCUACACUACAAGAAAAAGAUAAAUUAGCAACAGAAAUUUACGACUACCCUAUUAUUCGGUCGCAAAAAAUAUUUUUGCUACUGAAAAAGACGGUCAGUCACAAAUUUUGCAACUAAUUUUGCACCAGUUGCUACGCAGUCGCUAAUUUGCGACUGAAUUUUGCGACUACUAUAGUAAUCAGUCGCAAAAAAUAUAUUUGCGACUGUUAGAGACGAGUAGUCACAAAUUUUGCGACUCAUUUUGCAGUAGUUGCAAUGUUGUCGCUAAAUUGCAACAUUCUAAUAAUAUUUGCGACUAUAAAUUAUAGUCGUUGGGGAUAAUGAUUUUCUAACUUUUUAAUUUAAAAUUUGCGACUAAUGUUGCAACUAAAUCCUUAGUCAUUACCAUUAUUUUAUAAAUUUAAUAAAAAAGAAAUAAAAACAAAACCCUUAAUAUGAUGAGGAGUUGCCAACAAAACAAAAAAAGAACUAACUUAAUCACUUACUAUCUUACUCGUCCAAAAAAAAACAAAAAAAAAAAAAAAACUCAAUCACUUAAAAGCCUUAAGUAAUUUUUUCAUCAAUGGUUCUAUAAAGUACAAAAACUCUUCCUUCUAAAAAAAAGCAUGCAGAAGGAAAUUUUCAGAGAUUAAAGAAUUCAACCCUCACCGUCGCUCUUCAUCUGCCUUCGCUGCGCCACCAUGUCUCCUCCAAGUGCUAACAACUUCUUCUGAUAUGAGAGCGCUCAUUCUGUUGAUGUGGGCAAUAAUGAAAUUGAAUUGUGGGUGACAAGACUCAUCAAGUCAUGGGACAAUAUAUGGAUAAACUUGAGGAAUAUAAAAAGGAGUUGAGAUAAACCCCGACAAAGUCUAAUUGGAGGUUGUAGGUGGGAAAAAGAAUAGAAAAGUUUAUGGUUUAGGGAGUGCUUCACAAAUUUACUACAAGAACGAUCCUACUUCUCACCUUACUUCAUAAUGUAUAUCAUCAUUAGUUCUUAUUUGUCAUGUUAGAGGUGAUUUUUGAAACAAUUAGUCUUAUGGUUACUAAUAUUGUUUUUUAAUACAUUGAUACAAAAUUGAUGAUGAUAUUUUGGAUAUUUGAAUAAAAUUAACAUUUUGGUUAUUUGAAUAUAUGUGUAGGUACUUUUUUUUUUAUUGAUAUUUGGUCGUCACUAAAUUAAGGUCUCCAAAUAUUAAUAGCCCGUCGCAAAAAUAUUGCGACGGUAGAUUUCUUAUGGAGAUUAAUUGGUAUGUUGCAAUAAUUGGACUCGGUAGUCGCUAGUUUGUUGCAAAAAACUAGUUUUUAUAGUCGCAAAAUUUUGGUCUCGUGGCAGCUAAUCCGUCGCGAAACAAAUUAGUCUCAACCGUCGCAAUAUUUUGGCCUCUAGUUGCAAAUCCAUCGCAAAGAAAUUAGUCUCUGUAGUCGCAAAAGUUUUGUCUUGUAGUCGCAAAAUUUGGUCUUGUAAUUGCUAGUCCGUCGCAAAAAGAGUUUUAAAACAUUAGUUUCCGUAGUCGCUAAUCCGUCGCUAAUAUUUUACGACGGACAAUGAUUUAGUUGCUAAAAUUUGAAAGUUAGUCGCUAAAUGAUAGUUGCAAAGUCGUUGCAAAUCCGUUGCAAAUUUUCUACUGUUCAAAAAUUAGUUGCAAAAAUGGAUUUGCGACGAGGUCUUUGCCAACUAACCAAAGUAGUUGCUAAUCCGUCGCAAAUCCAUUUUUGCGACGAAUUUGCGACUAUUUUGGCGGUCGCUAAUACCCCUUUUUCUUGUAGUGCUAUUCAACACCGUUUCAAGCUUCUUGCCAUGAACAAUGGCUCCUUCACCUCUCUCAACCUUGCCGCCACUGUGAACCACCUCACCCAUUUUCCCAUCUGCCCCACUAGCCCCUCCUUUCCCUGUCAACCAACCCUCCACUUGCCACCACCUCGCAAUUAGCCUGCAAUUUAGCCGCCACCAUUUACCCCACCCAAACCCAAACCCACUCCGACCAAGACUCACAACCACCAAUCCCACCUCGCUGAAACAACCCAUACCCGAAUUCACCAACCCACCCUAACCCAUACACCCAAAAUCCCAAUUCUACCAACCUAGAACACAAAACCCUAACUCCCACCAAUUUCCUUCUCUUUUCUCCCUCUCAAUUGAAUUUUGGGCUGAAUUGGGGUGGUCGUACGUCGUUGGUGUUGCGGUUGUUGUGGGUGUUGUUUUCGGUUGUGUUAUGAGUGGUUGUUGAUAUUGUGGGUUGGUCAUGAAUGUUGUGAUGAGUGGUGAUGUCGGUGGUGUUUGUGGUGGUUAUAGGCGGUGGUGUUUGCAGUGGCCCCAUGGGUGUGUUGAGUGGUGUUGGUGCGUGGGUGAUAAUGGAGGAAGAAGGAGGAGAGAGAUACAAACAAGAAGGGGAAGGAGAUAGAAUUUUUUUUUUUUUUAAUUUUUAGAUUUUUCUUUAAAAAAAUUAAAAAAUAAAACUUUGACUAAUCGGAAAUUGCCACGUGGAUGGUAACCGGUUGUAAAGGGUAAGGUGACCUGUUGGGGUUGCUAGGAGAAAAUAUAUAGUAAACUUAGGAUUAUUCAAGGUUAACCGAAAGGUUGGAUUAUUUUGGGUGAAUGUGUGAAAGGUUGGAUUAUUCU